GUAAACUUCCAGCCACCUGAACAAAAUUCACCUACAUUAACCAACUGCGUACAGAGAAAAACAGCCUACAAAGCGCAGACAGGUGCAAAGAUCUCUGCCUCCAUUCUUUCUGUGCUUCCUCCCUCUCCGAGACAGACCCAGCCCCCUCUGGUCAAGACCGCAUCUCCUCCUAUCUCCUGCGGAUCUGGCUCCAUCACAGAUGGGAACAGGAGGCACUGAGCAGUUGAGUAUUUGCCCUGGUCACAUCGAAUCAGGAUUAGGGCAAAGGCACUCUGGCUCCAAAGCCUGAAUGUUCUUCUGCUUUGUACCAACGCAAGGUGCCUUGAAGGAAAAAGCACAGGAGAAGACGGCGUGGACGUGUCCCAUGCAUUCAUGCAUUCAUUUGUUGAUUAUUUAGCACUUACUGAGGGUCUACCGUGUGCAAGGCAGAGGGAUAAAGACACACAUCUGCCAUUAAGAUGCUCAGAACCCAAGGAGGGAGGAGCCAGUAACGUGUCGUGAAAGAGCUCUGCAAACUGCUCGGCUGGAGAUGAAAAGAAGCCAGGCCUGCCGCCUCCACUGCCCUCCUGGAACACCGUCCGGUGGAUGACCUAUGAUGAUGGGGAGCACCAGCUGGAGUUCUUUCUGGCGGAGGCACCCACGGUGCUGCUGAG
rnacentral:lncRNA from 1 species